AAUCAACGCUGGCGGCGCGCUUAACACAUGCAAGUCGCACGAGAAAGCGGGAGUAAUCUCGCAAGUAAAGUGGCGUACGGGUGAGUAACACGUGGGUAAUCUACCUUUUAGUGGGGAAUAACGCUGGGAAACCGGCGCUAAUACCGCAUAAUCUCGAGAGAGGAAAGCAGCAAUGCGCUGAAAGAGGAGCCCGCGGCCGAUUAGCUGGUUGGGAGGGUAAAAGCCUACCAAGGCAAAGAUCGGUAGCCGGCCUGAGAGGGCACACGGCCA
rnacentral:rRNA from 1 species